rnacentral:lncRNA from 1 species
CGAUAAUAGAAUUAGGAAAGGCAAAGCAAAGGACGACCUUUAGAGCAAAAAGGUGUGUUCAUCGCAACGUUGUUUGGAUCACAACAGGGUAUGGUGCAUGCGGUCGACGCGAACGCGAUGCAGAAUCGUUUGGAUCUUGACGCAUCGUCGUUGUUUGGAUCUAGGUGGAUGUGACACCGUGAAUAUCUCCACGAGCGUAGUGUGAUGC